rnacentral:rRNA from 1 species
GACGAACGCUGGCGGCGUGCUUAACACAUGCAAGUCGAACGGAAAGGCCCUGCUUUUGUGGGGUGCUCGAGUGGCGAACGGGUGAGUAACACGUGAGUAACCUGCCCUUGACUUUGGGAUAACUUCAGGAAACUGGGGCUAAUACCGGAUAGGAGCUCCUGCAGCAUGGUGGGGGUUGGAAAGUUUCGGCGGUAGGGGAUGGACUCGCGGCUUAUCAGCUUGUUGGUGGGGGAGUGGCUUACCCAGGCUUUGACGGGUAGCCGGCCUGAGAGGGUGACCGGCCACAUUGGGACUGAGAUACGGCCCAGACUCCUACGUGAGGCAGCAGUGGGGAAUAUUGUACAAUGGGCGCGAGCCUGAUGCAGCAACGCCGCGUGCGUGAUGACGGCCUUCGGGUUGUAAACCGCUUUCGCCUGUGACGAAGCGUUAGUGACGGUAAUGGGUAAAGAAGCACCGGCUAACUACGUG